AGCAGCCGCGGUAAUUCCAGCUCCAAUAGCGUAUAUUAAAGUUGUUGCAGUUAAAAAGCUCGUAGUUGAAUUUCGGGGUUCUACCGUUGGUCGGGCUAACCAGUCUGUACUAGCGUGUAAAAUUCCUACCUUCUGGAGAACCAUCAUGUUAUUAAUUUAGCGUGGUGGGAAACCAGGACCUUUACCUUGAAAAAUUAGAGUGCUCAAAGCAGGCUUACGUCUGAAUACAUUAGCAUGGAAUAAUAGAAUAGGACGGUGGUCCUGUUUUGUUGGUUUCUGAAUCACCGUAAUGAUUAAUAGGGAUAGUUGGGGGCAUUAGUAUUCAAUUGUCAGAGGUGAAAUUCUUGGAUUUAUUGAAGACUAACUUCUGCGAAAGCAUUUGCCAAGGAUGUUUUCAUUAAUCAAGAACGAAAGUUAGGGGAUCGAAGACGAUCAGAUACCGUCGUAGUCUUAACCAUAAACUAUGCCGAC
rnacentral:rRNA from 1 species